CUUUUUCUAAAUUUAUUAAUUUAACUCAUUUUCUAAUAACUCAAUAACACAUUGUUUUUCUCUCCAUACAACUGAUUCUUUAUCUGGAAAUCUUCUCUGAUUAAUUAUGUACAGAAAAAAAGAUCAAAUUACAAGGACAUAACCAUACUCAAAAGCAAAGAAAGCCUCAGUGUGAAACUGAAUCAGAAGAGAAAGGAAAAACAGCAAGUGGGGCAAAGGCUGUGGCUGGCUGAGUAUCACAUCUGUCAGUUAAGGAAUAUUCAAAGGUAAAAGGAGGACAGGAAAGGCCAUGCUUGAUAUCGGGGAUUAAACUAAGGCAUCUUCAACCCAGAAGAGAUAAAGAUACCAAGAAUUUGGGAAGAAUAAAGGAGGCUUUCUCUGUUCAGUGGAGAAAAGAUGACAGAAUUGCUGAGACAUCCUUUCUCCACUGAACAUAUGGCAAAUAUGUGUUUAACUUUUUAAGAAACUGCCAGGCCAGGCGCGGUGGCUCACGCCUGUAAUCCCAGCACUUUGGGAGGCCGAAACAGGUGGAUCACGAGGUCAAUAGAUCGAGACCAUCCUGGUCAACAUGGCAAAACCCCGUCUCGACUAAAAAUACAAAAAUUAGCUGGGCAUGGUGGCGCACGCCUGUAGUCCCAGGUACUUGGGAGGCUGAGGCAGGAGAAUUGCUUGAACCCAGGAGAUUGAGGUUGCGGUGAGCCGAGGUUGCAGUGAGCCGAAAUUGUACCAUUGCACUCCAGCCUGGGGUAACAAGAAUGAAACUCCGUCUCAAAAAAAAGAAA
rnacentral:lncRNA from 13 species